rnacentral:lncRNA from 1 species
GUAACAGACUGAGACAAACAAGCACCUCCACUCCGAAUAAAAUACUAGGCCUAUCCAUACAUUAGGCCUAUACAAGAUCGAUAGCCAAAGCUAUUUGUGUGAAUAUAUGCUAUAUACAGGCAACCAUUUUCGACCAACAGAUGAGCCGCAUCGCAGCGGAGAUCGGUUGUGGACGUUAGGUGAUUUUUGUGCCAAGCACAGCCUCCGCCAGCCCCACCCUCCCGCCUCAUGUGCUUGCAGGUUUCUGUUCGAUUGUCUGUGCGCGUUGCCGUGCGUGCGCGUCGGUGCGAGCACCCGCAGCAUCAGUAACACAAAGAGGGUCGAAGAGCUGUGGCUGGGAGAUACAAGGCGCGGUGGGCAACUUCAAGACCGAUUUGCGGGCAAACAAGAUCACUUAUAAGAGAGGCGACGACAGGGCAAAUUCCAGCCGUUCAGACGCCUGUUUGGGAAGAGGAAGAAGAAGGCAGCAGAGCAGGACUUCAAUACAGCAGAGCUGAAGGCUAUAGCUUCUCCACAGGGGAAGUGUCUAACGGAGUCAUCUCAGAUGAUGAGGAGACCAAUCAACAUCUGAGGGAGCUGAACCCCAUUGGGUCUCAAGCCCUCUCCCACGACAGUGUGUUUAUCCCAGAAGAAGCAUUACAGGAGCUCAGCCCAGAACAAACCAUGUCCCAGGAAAACGUCCCCGAUAAAGUCAGGAACUUGCAGGUGGGCCUUAAACACACAUUCAGAUGUAUGUUCACAGUCUUGGUUGAUGACUCUAAUUACCAUGUACUCGAAAGUCAACUGUUGCUCCCAGAUAACAGACACUUUAACGUUACUGCUGUCUUCAAUGUUAACAGUGUGUGUGUGUGUGUGUGUGUGUGUGUGUGUGUGUGUGUGUGUGUGUGUGUGUGUGUGUGUGUGUGUGUGUGUGUGUGUGUGUGUGUGUGUGUGUGUGUGUGUGUGUGUGUGUGUGUGUGUGUGUGUGUGUGUGUGUGUGUGUGUGUGUG